GUAGGUGAGAAGUUUUUAUUAUUCCAAUACUUACAACCUACAUUUCCCAUUGCUCUAAGGAUAGUAGAAAUUAGUUUUUAUUUUAUUGAUUAGUGGAUAAUAAAAAUUACCCAAAAAUUUCUCAGACACCACCACCGAUAUUUCAACACCAAAAUUGUUGAAAAAAAUUCGCAUAAAGUUUAUUUUUUUGUAUAUUUUCAUGAACGUCAAUAUUUGUUUAUAAUAUACGAUAAGAAUAACAUGCAAUAGAUCUCAACCGUCAAAUUUUAUAAAUUAUUUAGGUUAGGUGUUGGAAGAAAUGUUGUAUACCACUCUCUGGGUUUACUCCACUCGGAUUGCCAGCCUCUAAUAGUCGAUAAAAAAUGACUAAAGCCGAUCACCUUUAUCCGAUAGACUAUAUGGCUUCGUGCUCGACCAUUUUUCGUCUCAAAAAUGUCAAAUGUUAGUUUUUAAAACUGUAGAUUUCCUGAGAGGGAAACAAGGGAAUGUUAAUGCGAUCGAGAAAGGCGUUAGCGUGUCUAAAUUUCGAUGGCUAGAUUCGAUAAUUGUCUCCACAACACAAGAAGGUGACUGGUCGAAAUCCAAGCCCGGAUCAUUUACUUUCGGAAUGGAAUAGAGUUAGUCAGCAGAAAUCGGGCAUCGGUUUCGGCAAGAUAAUUGCAACGGACUCACUUCAUCAACCAUUAAAAAGUUAAUAGAUUAUAGAGGCACUUUUCUUCGACACACCGGGAGACUUUAAAUCUGAUAAGCAUUUUUUUGACACAAUAACAUAAUCCCCGGAGGCGUAUAAAUCGUCCAGCAUGCGGCCGAAAGCUAGUUUGCAUACAAAAUCCGUGGCAUCUAGUGUUAUAACUCAUACAGAAGUAGAACUUCAGGUUUGAUGUUUUAUUUAUCUGAAAUGGUCCACUUCUGGGAAAUUGCAAUUGGACACGGUAGCAUCAGAGGUCACGCCAGAUGGUCGCUGAAAAAUCGAGAGUUUCGUUUUUUAAUUAUGUCGUAAUUAAUUGGUUCAAUAAGCACGCAUUAGAACCGGAUAGAAUGUUGUCAAGCCAGGGCGUGGUACUAUUAUCUCGUGCCCGGUGAAACUGGACUACUUUUACUUUGUGCGGCCUUUUACCUACCACCCAUACAAGAAAAUUUAGAUAAAAAUGUAGAAACGAGAUCGUUAUGAAGUCAAGUGUCAUCAUCCAGUUGAACCAGUUACGGAAAUAAAAAUAAUUGUCUUGUCACAGGAUCGUCCUCACUUUUGAAAUUGUAGACCGGUUGUCAUUACUCGAGGACUACAUACACCUGCAAAGGACUCGACAGGUAAAAUGUGGAAACAUUAACCUGUAGUUUGUACAAUCAGAAGGGAAACGACGUGAUUUACGGGCGCUCAGAUAGUGAAAGCGUACUGUUAUCGGGCCCGUUUCAACAAAAAUCACAAUCUGGAAAGCCACUUGUUUGCCAGAAUUCCGACAAGAAACCAGGAAUUCCUACCACCCGUCUGAUGAAUGUUACACAUGUGGUUUCUAAUUUUAGACGAGGGUUGUUUUUGCAUUUCUUUAACACGAUUUAUCUACCAAUAUCGCGUACGCGGACAAUGAAAAAAUUACAGAUUUCUUACUCGCUGCAGGUGCCACAUAUGGCGGAGGGUGGCGAGACUGUGUAAUUCGAUCCCAACGCUUCUCCCGCCAAAACUAAAUCACGACAAGAAUUUCUUACCCAAGACGCCGGAAAAUCACUCACAUAAAAGCCGAGUCAAAAACUUAUUUGUCUAGUUUUAUAAAAUUGAAGAUAACUAAGCUCAAAUUUUUGGUAAUUGAUUGAAAAAUGCUUUUUAGCGAUAUUUUUUGGACUUUUUAGAUUUAAAAAUGUUUAACAAAAUUCCAUCUAUAAUUAUGGAGGUUUAAAAUUUGCUUAUUUGACUUUGUUUAUAUUUCUCUUUAUUGUUACUGGUGAUGUUGCAACAUAUUAUUUGUUCAAUUAAAAAAGCACAAAAUCAACAAAUAACAUUAAAGAUAUGUAGUUGCAAUUCAAAUACAGUUUCUUUGUUUACUUUUCUAAUAACAUCUAAUAAAUACUUGUAAACAUGUGAAAUUAUUUACCAACUGCAAUAAAUAAGGUCAAAUGUGCAAACUUUGAACCCCUAUAAUCAGAUUUUUUUUAUAUACACGGUGAUUUAAAAGGGUUUAUGUGGUAAUAAAAAAACACUAACACAAGGGCAUGCAUAAAAGCUUUUCAUAUUUUUUUGCCUGCAAGUUUUUCAAAUAGGCCACGCUGCACCUUCUGCUUGCACUCAAUAAUUUAAGAUAUUUGAUACCGUUGAUACUUUUUUCUUUAUUGCUACGUAGACGUAGUCAACAAAUUUUUGGUGUGCUGAUGGUUGCCGACUUUAUCUCUUCAGAAAAUGUUUUUCUUUUUUCACGCAUUUGUUAUUAUUUUUAAGAUUUCAUUUAUUAUUUAAUAAUUCACAUACAUAUUUUAAUGCCUCUCAUUAAUAAAACAAAAAAAUUGUCUUCCUUAAUUAAUAAAAAUAAAAAAUAAUAAGAAAGCUGCGUCUUUGAAGAGCUGUAUCUACCAAAAUACUAAUGGUAUUAAAAUGAUCAAAUAAUAAUUAAUCGUCUCAUUGAAAACAUUAGGGAAUACUAUAAAUACACUUAGGUAUCGAAAAAGUGCUCAAAUUAUAAAUUUUAAUAAAUAGUCCAAUCAAUGAACAUUCAAAAAAAGGGCUCUCGAAAACGGUACCUAUUACAAAAAUUGUUAUGUAUACAAUUAAAGCUUAUAAAAUUUCCUACAAGACUGUUUUUUCUGAAAUUUUGUAUUUUAAAUAUAUUUUGAGAUAUUUGCUAUUAUAUAUUGCACACACUUUUUAAAAAAACCUACCAAGAAAAUGAGGUAAUGUUUCAUUUGUUGCACUUGAAAAUGUUAAAUUCGAAGAAAUUUUUCACUUCUUUGUUUGUCACUAAUUUAUAUUGUAUUUGUAAGCACACAAAACACUAGUUUUCCUAUUUAUGUCUUAUUUCCCAAACAAGUAGGUUACAACGAAACAUACGGCGCAAAUACUCACAAUUGUCACAAUAGAGGGCACGGAGGUGACAAAGAGCAGACACAAUACAUUUUUAUUAAAAAUUGGAAUCAACGUAAUGAAUGAAUGCAAAAUAGAAUUAAUCAUUUUCGCUCGAUUUUUCAAUUAAACUAAAGUCUAAAGUGAUUGGUUUCUCCAUGGUUACUCACAUUAUAAUAAUGGCCGACCAUAAAGGGACCAAUCACAUCUAUGCAAAAUUUUGAAUGAAUCCAAGAGACUAAUGUGAUUGGUUUUUUACAUUAUUGUAAUGGCUGACUUUAAACUGUCCAAUCACAAGGCUUACAACUUUUACAACCAUUCUUAGGAUAAUUUAUUAUUGGUUAUUCACGGUUUUUUUUAAGAGUGUGUUAUUUGCUAGCGAAUAUCUCGAAAACUAUUUGAGCUACAAAAAACUCGAAAAGACCAUCUUGUAGAAAGUUUUACAAGCUUUAAUUCAGUAUUUUUUUCCUUAUUUUGUGCCGUUUUGUGGAUCUAAGCGAAAAAGCAUAAGGGGCCACCUUCUAGGUGCCCCCCUGGGCCCCGCUGGUCAUAACUUACUCAAAAAUAUGUUCCCGACCAUACAUUCACCACUUGUUCUUUGACUGGACUAAAACGUGUCGAGUGAAUUGUAAGUUUUAAUGUUAUAUUUUUUUAAAUUUGUUGCGAGGCUUUUGCAAGUCUUGUUUACUCCUACAAUGGAUAUUUCACCAAUAUUUGUAAAUUUACUAUACAAAAAGUAGUUGUAUAAAUGCCUGAGUGAAAUAAAGAAAAAUAAAUAAAAUUUGUUGUGGUCGUUUACUGAAACUGACCACAGUGUACGAACAUCAUGGGAUUUUCUAGGAAAACACUAAAAAAAUAAUACCUACAAGAACAGGCUAUUAGUGGUUAAAACUAAUGUACUUAUUUCUGUGGUAGGUAGAUGAAACUGUAAAUAUGACUUGAUGACCUGACCUAUAUCAACUAGAAAUUCCAGAAAACAGCUCGAGUUCUAGUUCUCCGUUUCGCGUUUCUUAUUUGACUUUGUGUAAUAAUUUUUGGACGAGUCGAAACACGCCACUACCCAAUUUUCUCUGUUCUUAUUAAACCCAUCGGUCAAAUUGGCCGAUAAAAGAUUCUCGUUGCUUUUGGUAUGCGGUAAUCGUCGACGAUUAGCCAGAAACGAUUUCCCCAUUCCAACCUGACUUGAUUUAAUUGGAUUUCGACGCAUAUUUCAAUCCAGAUUUUGUUUGGUUCGGUCGGAACAAAGCUUCGAUUCGACCGAAUUGUCGCUAUUUAAUGCAUUCUUAACGGAUCGAACGUGCAAAUAAAAGGCCACGAGUCGUUCAUCCGAUUUAAUUGCGUGUGAAAACGGUCGAUUUAUUCAUCAUAAUUAAACUGUUACUCUCUGGCCCGGUUCAUCUCCGAUAAAUGCGCAGAGCAAAGCCCAAAGGACCGAUCUAACGGAACUUCGAACUCGAUUAUGCAUAUUAUUAACGCUCCCGAAACGUGCAAUUUAUCACAAAUGACUCGGCUUUAAUCUCACUCGAGCAGAAAAUCGAAAAACAUGGAUUUUUCCGCGUUUGAGAUAACUGUUAUGUCAUAACGA